CGGGUAGUACCGUUUCCUAGAAGACAAUCAAGCAGGUCUGAGGUUGAGAGGCGGUGGAGUUGGGAGGAGGACUAAUUCAAUCGAGGGAAAGCCCCUCUGAGAAGGCUGCCCUAGGUCUGGAGUGAUGAAGAUCUGUGCAGUAGCAACCAGAGGAACCUUUCCAAAGAGGACAUGGUCACUCUGCUGCUUAAAGGACUUCAACGGCUUUCUGGUGCACUUUUCUUGUCCUUCAAGAUCCUUCUGAUGGCUGCUUGCUUUUAGGCCCCCAGCCCCACACCCUCCACUCCCUUCUUCCCCCACUCUGAACUUCCAACAGUUGCUGGCACAUGGACUGUGCACUCCCUCUGAGCCCUGGGUCUCAGUGCCUGCUUGUCUUUCCCCUCGUGCAUCCCAGGCCAGACACCAACUCCUCCUCCAAUAUCCAGCUCCAACAUUGCUGGCCCUGGGAAUCAUUCUCUGACCCACCUCAAAGUGGACGAUUUUCUACACUUUCUUACCCGGUGUUGUCAACACGUUUACUUGUGUGUCCCAGGCAUUGGGGACUCUCCUCAGGGGAUGUGGACAUAGGCUUGUUUAUCUUCAAAUAUUUGCCUGAAUGUUCUGAGAAUUCUAAGGGAAAGGUGGAGAGAAACACAUGGCCCUUUUUUGGGCUGCUUUCCCACCUUUCAUUCCCCAACAGGGCGUGUGUCUAGGAAGCCACCAGACCUAGGAGCACCUGGACGGUUGGCCUCCUCCAAACAUCCUGGUCUUGCUCACCUUCAUUUCAGAACAAGGAGGCCUCCAAGAGAGGAGGGACUGGGAGGCAGAGCCAGGAACCUGGGGUUCCCCUAGGAAGACCUGGCCCAUCAUAAUCCACAUGGCCCGACUCUGGGACUCACCAGAUAGUUCAUAUCUCCUCUCAGCCCUAGCCUAGGCAUCAGAUGAACUGACAAGUCCAUUUUCUUCUCCUCUCCUCAUUUCCUGUGUCUAAAAACCGAGGGGCUGGAGUUUGUGGUCCAAAAGGGUGGCAGGUUUGUGUGAGAGGCUUGUGAAGAGUUUCUAAGAAAUUUCAACUUGUUGCAGAAUCAGCAUGAGGCCUCAUCACAAAGCAGCUGGUGCUCAGAAGGAAGCCAGAGGGGUGUUUAAUGCAGGGGCUACUUACCAAGCAUAGGCCAUGCUAAGGGAGCAAAAAGGGGUGGCCUGCUUGAGGGUCCAUCACCACCAGGUUCCAGGGGGGACAAGGGAGGCGCUAUGGUUUGAAUGUCCCCACCAAACCCAAUGCUGAACUUUGAUGCCCAUCACGAGGUAUCCAGAGGUGGGAGUUGAAAGAGCUGACUAAGUACUGAGCCUUCAUGCAUGGAGAAGCGAUUCCUGGAUUAAUGGGUCAUCUCAAGAGCUAUUACAAACUCCAGCUUGGUUCUGUCUCACAUGUAACCCUCUGACCACGUCAUGCUCAGAGUCACCUCAGGACUCUGCAGGGAAUCAAAACUUUGAACCUCCCAGCAUGCAGAGCCACAAGAUGAAUAAAUCUUCAUUCUUCAUAAA